GUGAGGAAUAUUGGUCAAUGGGCGCGAGCCUGAACCAGCCAAGUAGCGUGCAGGACGACGGCCCUAUGGGUUGUAAACUGCUUUUAUACGGGGAUAAAGUAUGCCACGUGUGGUUUAUUGCAGGUACCGUAUGAAUAAGGACCGGCUAAUUCCGUGCCAGCAGCCGCGGUAAUACGGAAGGUCCGGGCGUUAUCCGGAUUUAUUGGGUUUAAAGGGAGCGUAGGCCGGGUUUUAAGCGUGCCGUGAAAUGUCGGGGCUCAACCUUGACACUGCGGCGCGAACUGGAGUCCUUGAGUGCGCGGAACGUAUGCGGAAUUCGUGGUGUAGCGGUGAAAUGCUUAGAUAUCACGAAGAACCCCGAUUGCGAAGGCAGCAUACGGCAGCGCUACUGACGCUGAAGCUCGAAGGCGCGGGUAUCGAACAGGAUUAGAAACCCUAGUAGUCC
rnacentral:rRNA from 1 species